rnacentral:tRNA from 1 species
AUGGGGUUUGCCCAGUGGUAGAGCUCUUGCCUCACAAGUAUGAGGCACUGGGUUCAAUCUUCAGCACCACAUA